rnacentral:rRNA from 1 species
AGUGAACGCUGGCGGUAGGCCUAACACAUGCAAGUCGAACGGCAGCACAGUAAGAGCUUGCUCUUACGGGUGGCGAGUGGCGGACGGGUGAGGAAUACAUCGGAAUCUACUUUUUCGUGGGGGAUAACGUAGGGAAACUUACGCUAAUACCGCAUACGACCUACGGGUGAAAGCAGGGGAUCUUCGGACCUUGCGCGAUUGAAUGAGCCGAUGUCGGAUUAGCUAGUUGGCGGGGUAAAGUCCCACCAAGGCGACGAUCCGUAGCUGGUCUGAGAGGAUGAUCGGCCACACUGGAACUGAGAAACGGUCCAGACUCCUACGGGAGGCAGCAGUGGGGAAUAUUGGACAAUGGGGGCAAGCCUGAUCCAGCCAUACCGGGUGGGUGAAGAAGGCCUUCGGGUUGUAAAGCCCUUUUGUUGGGAAAGAAAAGCAGCAGGUUAACACCCCGCUGUUCUGAGGGUACCCAAAGAAUAAGCACCGGCAAACUUCGG